UACAGAGGUCUCAAGCGUUGUUCGGAUUCAUUGGGCGUAAAGGGUGCGUAGGCGGCGCGGUAAGUCGGGUGUGAAAUUUCGAGGCUUAACUUCGAAACUGCAUUCGAUACUGCCGUGCUUGAGGACUGGAGAGGAGACUGGAAUUUACGGUGUAGCGGUGAAAUGCGUAGAUAUCGUAAGGAAGACCAGUGGCGAAGGCGGGUCUCUGGACAGUUCCUGACGCUGAGACGCGAAAGCGUGGGGAGCGAACAGG
rnacentral:rRNA from 1 species